GCUCCAGGCUCUGAGCUGUCAGCACAGAGCCCAACGUGGGGUUCAAAUUCAUGAAGUUGUGUGCUUAACCAACUGAGCCACCCAGGUGCCCCAGAUUUUCAGUUUUAAAAAACUGGGACAGUCCUGGGCCAACUGGGAUAAGUUGGUCACCAGAUAAGUUAUCCCAGUUGGUCACCCUAAGAUGGGCAGCCUUUUAAUGGGGUGGUCUGGGGCUUCCUGAGGAGGUAGCAUUUGAUUAAGGACUGAAUGAAGCAAGGGAGUGAACCAUGGGAAUGCUAGCAAAGCGGCUUUCUAGGCAGAGAGAAUAGUAUGUGCAAAGGUCCUGAGCCGGGAGUGUUCUUGGGGACAUUUGAAGGACUUAAAGAAGGUCAGGGUGUCUGAAGCAUAGCACCAGGAAAGAGACUAGUAAGAGAUAGGUUUUAGAGAGGGAAGUGGGGGUUAGCCUCUGACCCUUGCAGGAAAAGGAAGAACUUUGGAUUUUAUUUUAAGCCCAGUGGAAAUCUUUGGAGAGUUUAAGCAGGGAAAUGAGAUGGUAUAAUUUAUGAUUUUAGAAAGAUCACUUUGGUGGUUGUGCGGAGAAGGGAAUGUUGGUGGGUGUGGGGUGGGGGACAGAGUGGACUCAGGUAGACCCAAUGGGAGGUGUUUGUAAUCUAGGGCAGUGGUCUCGAACUCAAGCCUGCAUCGGAAGCACCUACCUGCAGGGCUUGUUAAACAUGGCCUCUGGGCCUUGACCCUGGAGCCUGCAUUUCUUCCAUCCAAGUACUAACCAGGCCUGGCCCUACUCAGCUUCCAAGAUCAGAAGAGACGGAGUGCGUUCAAGGUGGUAUGGCCGUAAAGUGGAUUCUAACCAACUCCCAGGUGGUGCUGAGGCUGCUGGUCCUGGAUCACUUUGAGUUAGGGGACAAUGGUGGCUUGCACUAAGGCCGUACCAGUGCUCAAGUCAAGUCUCGUCUGGGACGCAUCAGCCCCGUUUUGGUUCUCUUGUAACUUGGUUGCACCAAGGAGAAUAUCUCAAUUUGAUAGCAGUGUGGCUGUAACACUGUUCUACCCUUCUCCCUUUUAUUUUAGUAAAGAGACAGCAGGCCUCUCAGAGCUCUCAGCAGAGAACUCUGCUUAAAAUUUGAGUUUUUGGGGAGGUCUUCACUGUAUUUAUUUUUUAUGGUUGCUUACAACUUAUGACAAACAAUAUUGGUUUUCCUUUUACAAGAGUGUUACAAAGCUUCCAUUUUUCAAUAAACGUAUUUAGUUUUUUUAGAAGUGAGAGUUGCUUUUUUAUAAAUCUGUGAAGUAAAUAAUGGUGUGGGUAAAACUCAGAUAUGACACAUCUAUAGAUGGCGGUUCUUGAGUGACCGCAGUUGGGGAAAUGGGACCCUGAGCCUUAGUUUGCUUGGGUCCUGGAAACCCAACACUUGAUGUCAUUGGGUAUUUCAUAAACACAGCAAUUCCUCACCGUCUCUAGGCCACAGUCUGGUAGCCCACUGUACCCCACUAUCUCCCAUUUUCUGCUGUUCAUGCCUUUAUUUAUUCAACCCACAUUUACUGAGCACCUACUAGCUUCUGGGUCCAAGUCUUAAAGUCUGUUUGCAGCAUCCCCUUGGGAAGCAUUUUAUGGGUGAUAAUCGUUCUUGGAAAGAACCUUCUCAACAAUUUCCUAAGUGGAAACAUAAAAUGAAUGUGGAUAUGUGUCCCUGAUAAUGUUUCUCUCCUGUCCUUCUGUGAAGAGAGAGAAAGAAAGAGAUGGGGUUGGUAGGUAUGCUGGGAAUUACAAUCCCGCCUCCUCCAUUAUACACCCAAAGAGUGUAAUGCUCACAUGAAUGUCACCUGUCAUGUGUGUCCUACUGGGGAAAACAAAGGACUGGAACAGGCAUAGGUUACGGGACAUCAUUGUCAGAUUUUAAACAGAAGAUUGUAAGCUCAGAUUUGGGCGUUAGAAUGUUUGUCUUGGCAGUUGAGAGAAUGGAGGGAAGACUCUGGAUGGCAGGUUAAGAGAUCUCUUUGGGCAAGUUAUAUCAACUUUCUGGGCCUAAAUAUCUGUAGGUUCAAGAAGGUAGAUCAUGUUUUCUCUUGUAAUAUGCAAGAGUUCACAAAAUAAAGUGACACCAAAUCAUGGGAACGUUGAAGGAUGGAUUCUCACCAAAUGGGAAGCGUGUGUCUGAGAACAGUCUGAGCUAGGACCCAGACCCUGAGGCAGGUGUGGAGGACUGUGAGGGACGCUCAAGGCUGGAGGCAGUCGCUCUCCCAAGCUGCUGGUCUGGAGGAGCAAGGAGAGGAUGUGUGAUUGCCGGGGAAGAUUUGCUCUGGGCAGAGCAGUCCAAGGAUGGUGUUGAAGAGGACCGCACAAGUAAAGCUGUAAGGACUCCCACCAGGCGGGUGUAACACCAAGCCGUGUGGGGUGGAGUAGCUGCAGGGGUUUAUUUAGUGAUGAUUAAUAAAGUGAAUUUCACCUCGGUUCGCAAGGGUGCAAUUAAACAUGCAAAUGAUUUAACAAAGUUAAAAGAUUUUACACAUAUAAUGAUUACACCUAAGGAUCAAAUGUGAUAAUGGUAGACGCGAACAUACUCCGUGGGCUCCAGAGCCCUGCGUCACAACUCCCGCCUGCUACUGAUGCAUCUCUGUAGGGUAGGCUGGGUGCACUCCCAGAGUCUCAGUCCAGCGCUUGCUCUUGUAUUGCGGGGCCAUGUUUCCCACAGGGCGUGGGAAAAGAGCAGCGUAGACCUAUGUCCCUUUUCCAGUUGCCUGUGCCUCCUUCCUUGAGCUCUGAGUAGCCGACGCUCUUUCCUAGUACUCGACGGCAGCCCUGGGGUCUGAAACUCUCCCUCUUGCCCCUGGCCACUUUGGGGUCCGGACUGUGAUUUCUGGCUACUUUGAACGAAGAAGUUUGAGAAAAUAAGAGCCAUGGCCAAGUUGGGUCUGAGAUGAUGGUUCAGAACUCUGGCUCAUGGCGUUGGGUAGACCUGGUUGAAAUCCCGGCUCUGUCACUUGCUAGUUGUGUGAUGUUGGGAGAGCCCCGGUGUCACUCUGGGUCCUCUAAGAGGCUCUGGGAAGCAACGUGCAAGGACUUCAUUAGGUGGAACAUUUAUGUGACAGAAGUCAGACUGCGAUGAAAGUCUGACCCUGAGGGAAGGAGAGAGGGUUGUGUGGAAACGUCUGAAUGGCAUAGUAUGAAAAAGGUCAAGGUGUCCCAAGUUGGCUGUCAGAGGAGUCCUGUGUUUUCUAGGACUGGGCCUGCCUUAGUUUCCCUGCUAUGCUCUAUCACUGAUGAGGUGGGUAGAUUUCAGGUCCAGCGGGUGCACUCUCGUGGUUACCAUACCCAUAACCUCUCACAAGACUGGUUAUGAUCAAAUGAAGCAAGGCACUUCAUAUGAGAUCCGGCAUAGAGUAAGGACUCCACACAUUUUAGCUAUUAUUAUUAUUAUUAUUACCCAAAUACUCUUUUGAAGUCAACAAAAGAGUUUUCUUUUUGCUACCAAGCAUUCCCUAGACCAGACGCUGCUAAUUCAGAUUCCCUCCCUGUAAGCGAGUGGACCAAGUCUAAUACCUUAGGCAGUGGUGGGGACUGUGAUAAACUCAAGAGUGCGUGCUUUAUUUAAAACAUUUUGAAAAAUGGCUGGAUCCACGAAAAGCAAACACAUCUGUGGGCUGAAUUUGGUCUACUGCUCUCCAGUUUGAAAUCUCUGCCUUAUAUGCACAAGGUUGUCUGUAACACUUCCUGAUAUUCUGGGUUUGCAACAGCCAGGGAGUCAAUUUAAUUAAAAGAAAACAAAAAUAGUUUGGGUGGGUUUUUUCCCCUUUCUUGCUGACAAAUUUAUGGUGUGUUUGACCAAACUGAGAGAUCUGACUGGUUGAUUUUGGUUUUGUACAGAGCUUCAGUGUUGACUUAUCUGAGAGGUUUAGAAGGUGGAUGUGGGGUAUGAACGGCAUGGGUUGGAGUCUUGGCUCCCCCAUUUUCCAGCUACGGGAUCUUGGGAAAGUUGGGACAUCUCUGUAGCUCAGUCUGCCUGUCUGUAAAAUGGGGACAGUUCCCCUCAUGGGGUUGCUAUGAGGAUUUAGUAUACGGAAGGUGCUGAGAACACUGCCCAGACCAAGUAAGGCUGAAUAAGUGUUGAUGUUAUUCUGGGGUUGGGCAAAGGAGAGAGAACAUGGCUUUUCUUCAUCAUUUUAUUUCACAUAAGCCUAAAACUUAAUGGUGGGUAUAACACCCAAAUAUGAAUGAAUUUCUCCUACCCUGGUGAUAUAAUCACAUAUAAUAAUGUCACUUACAUAAGCUUUCCUACCUCCCUGUUAAAGCCACCCACACUCUGCUCCACUUCAUGCCGUGAUAGAAUUUUUCUCCCACAGGGAAAGAGACACCCAACUUUAUACUAAUUAUCACUGUAAAGCAGGGACCAACAGGGGAUGCUGGAAAAGGUGGAUUUUUCAGUAAUUUGUUGGUUAGGGGGAAAGUGUUUAGAAGCAGUGAAUCAGGCCUGGAGACCUCAGAAGAGCCAGUGGGGGUCAUGGGCCAGAAGCAAGCCAUGGCCUCCUCCAAAUUAGGUGGGCUUGGCCUAUACCUUAGAGGAAAAGAGUCUGUGAGCGAGCCCUCUGCAGAUAAACACUGAUGUGCUGUUUCUUUCCUUCCUUCCUUUCCUCCUCCUCCUCCUCCUCCUCCUCCUCCUCCUCCUCUUCUUCUUCUUCAAUUCUGAAACAUGUUCUACAUGUGAUGCAUGCUCAUUGUGGAAAUUGUAGAAAAUAGAGGGGAACAAAAUAGAAGUGUAAAAGUCAGAACAUGUUCAGCUUCAAGUGUCAGAAAUCAAUCCCAACCUGGUGUAGGUGAUUCAAGAGAAUGUAUCAAUGCAAGGAUGUUGUUCCAGGGAUGAGUCAGGCAGGGCUACAUCCAGGGCUCAAACAAUCCUGGCAAGGUGCUGUCUUGCUCACUGUAUUCAUUUCUCCAUUUCUUCUGCCUAUUCCAGGCAGAAGAGGUCUAAAAGUAAACACGACUAACUCUAGACUAAUUCCCAUCAUUUGAAGAACGCUACUGGAAAGAAGAGUCUCAGGGAGGGAUAUGAUUGGCUGGGCAUGUAUCACAUGUGCAUCCUUGAGCCAAUCAGCCAAUCCUUGUGGCUACAAAUGAAAUGUUCUGAUUGGACAUGUUAGUGAGCCAGUGGCUGGGAAGGUGGAAACAAGUCCCCCUUGAAAUACAAGGAAUAGGUUUCCCAUAAGAAGGAGGGUUUUUGUUCCAGAAGAAAGAAGAGAAAGGGAUGAGUUGAUGAAAACAUGAGGAGUCACUUUAAGAUGCAAAUACAAAUUUCUAAUACUCCCACCAGAAAUAAGGGCUGCUGACUUCUUGAUGUAGAUCCUCCCAGAAUUCCCUAGUCACCAUCUAAUGUGUCUAUACUUACAAGUAUGUGUUAGACAUAUAGAACAUUGAAAUGCCCAAGAAACUUUUGUAAAUGAUUUUGACUGCCCCCAUCAAAAAUAUCAAUUACAUAUCUCGAAAUCCAAAUGGUUUAUUUCCUUGGUCAGAAAAUCAAAGAAUAUAGACAAGCAAAAAUGAAAUCUAAUUUAUGACUGGUUGCAGCUGACAGUAAGACUUUCAAGAAGGCAAGUAAAAAGCAAGGUUGAAAUAAAGGGAUUUGUUAUGUCUCCUCUUAUGACAGCCUGUCUUCUCUUCAUGGUGCUUUCCACAUUUAUAAUUAUUUAUUAACUACUUGCAGUGGCUUAUGUAAAAUUAUUCCAUUAUGAGCUAUUCCAGGUACACACAAAAAAACUGUGGGCUGAUUUAGUGAACAACCAUUUAUGCUUCACUCAGCUUAAGAAAUGUAGCAUAACAAAUACAAUCUCAUCCCGCUGGACCCCAUCUCAGUCCUGUGCCUUUUCUUCUGUCUCUCUCUCCCUUCCCAGUGAUGAUCUUUAUCCUCAGAAUGCAUUUUUUAUUCCAUGUACAUUAAAAUUUUUUUUAAGUUUAUUUCUUAUUUUUAGUAAUCUCCACACCCAACCUAGGGCUCGAACUCCUGACCCUAGGAUCAAGAGUUAUAGGCUCCAUUGACUGAACGAGCCAGGUGCCCCUCCAUGCAUAUUUUUAUACUUUUCAUUAUGUAUGAAUGAUCUGUUAUCAACAUGUAGUAUUGUGUUGCAUGUUUUAAAACUUUGAGUAGAAUCCUGCUGUACAUAUCAUUUCAUGAUUUAGCUUUUCCCCCCACUAUUAUGAUUUUUUCAAUUUAUCAAAAUUAUGUUUCACUUAUUCCAUUUAUUCACUUAUUUCACUACUGCUGUUACUACUACUGGUUACGAUGGCAUUCUACUGGACAACCGUAUCACAAUUUACUUACCCAUUCUCCUGUAAGUGGGCAUUCAGCUUUCUUCUGUCAUAAACAGUGCUGCUAUACACACUCCUGGACAUCUCUCCUCGUGAAAAGUGACGGAGCUUCUCCAGUCCUACGGUAUAUACUCAGGAAUGGAACUGGUAGGCUGUAGAGUUGGCACGUCUCCAGCUCAACUAGGUGCCACCAAACUGCUCUGCAGAGUGGAUGUGCCAAUGUACACUCUUACCAGCCACCCAUGAGGCUUCCUGUUUCUCCAGAAUUUGGUUUUGUCACAUUUUCCAUCUUUGCCGGGUGAUGCAUGUGAGCUUCUGGUCCUUCGCACCUGUUGUUUGAUCCUGGAUAGCUGGAAUCAUACAUCUUGUUCACCAUGGUUUUCCUGGCACUUAGCACAGCUCCUGGGACAUAGUAGAUGUUCAGGAUUGGGGGUUGACUGAGAAAGAGUUUUCUGGUUCCUCCCCUUUGCUACAGAAGACACCUGUUCUCCAGCAAACCUGCUUCUGUCUACUCCUCUCCUUUGAAGAUCAGAGACCUCCCACACACUAAAUGGAGAGAACAGUUUGGGGCUCCCCUAAUUGCCUUUCAUUUGGGCAGCAGUUCUGAAAACCUAUGCACGGGCAUCAGGAUCACCUGGAGGCCUUGUGGAAACACGGAUGGCUGGGUGUCACCCUCAGAGCUUCCCGUUCAGGAUGUCCAGGGUGCUCUAAGAAUUCACAUUUCUGAUGAGUUCCUACCUGGUGUUGAUGCUGCUGGUUUGCGAAGCAUACGUUGAGAACCAGUAUAUCAGAGAAACAUCCAGUCCAAACAUUUUGGAUAUGUUCUGUGUGGCAUGCCCGUAAAGAGACUCACACCAGUCAGAGUGGCUAAAAUGAACAAAUCAAGAAACUAUAGAUGCUGGUGAGAUGUGGAGAAACGGGAACCCUCUUGUACUGUUGGUGGGAAUACAAACGGAUGCAGCUGCUCUGGAAAACAGUGUGGAGGUUCCUCAAAAAAUUAAAAAUAGAUCUACCCUAUGACCCAGCAAUAGCACUACUAGGAAUUUACCCAAGGGAUACAGGAGUGCUGAUGCAUAGGGGCACUUGUACCCCAAUGUUUAUAGCAGCACUUUCAACGAUAGCCAAAUUAUGGAAAGAGCCUAAAUGUCCAUCAACUGACGAAUGGAUACAGAAGAUGUGGUUUAUAUAUACAAUGGAAUGCUACCUGAAUGAGAAAGAAUGAAAUCCUGCUAUUUGCAGCAACAUGGAUGGAACUGAAGGGUAUUAUGCUAAGUGAAGUAAGUCAGUCAGAGAAAGACAGAGAUCAUGUUUUCACUCAUAUGUGGAUCUUGAGAACCCUAACAGAAGACCAAGGGGGAAGGGAAAACAGUUACAAACCAAGAGGGAAGGAGGCAAACCAUAAGAGCCUCUUAAGUACAGAGAACAAACUGAGGAUUGAUGGGUGGGGGUGGGGGAGAGGGGAAAGUGGGUGAUGGGCAUUGAGGAGGUCACUUGGUGGGAUGAGCACUGGGUGUUGUAUGUAAGCCAUUUGACAAUAAAUUACAUUAAAAAAUAAAAUACAACAAAAAAAAAAAAAGAGAGAGAGAGAGAGACCAAAUGCAAACUUUCAAAAGUCAUUCCCAACGUGGAUAGAGGAAGGAAUAAAUGUUUCAUCCAACUCCACUUGGCUGGAAUAGGGAAAGGAGGAGCCAGAAUUCUGAAUUCUGGGUCCCUCGAAAGUUCAAGACAGGUGGCAGCCCUUACAGAGACUGAUCUAAUUCAAAAAGAAUAUAUUGGGCGGCCGCUGGCAAGUUUUCAUAUCUUCUACAAGAUUUCAAGGCAGGAUCUUUUUUUCCACUGAUACUUCUGAGACCAUCCCUAUCUUCUCUUCUUUCCCCUCCUCCUCCUCCUCUUCCUCUUUCUUCUUCAUCAUCAUCAAACAUUAAUUUAAUUCAAGUGUAGAUUUGAUUGUCAUGAUAUCACAAUAAAGACAGCUACCAUUUAUAGAGGGCUUGAUUACAAGUACUUUAUAAUCUCAUCUAAUCAGCAUUAUUGCAUCUAAUCCUGCCUUAGGCCUCUCCGACUCCAAUGUUGUGUUCUUUAUUAUUCCUAUACACUGUAUUUCCGUAAGUGUUGGUCUGUUCAUUCAUUCAUUUAUCCAUUCAUUCAUUCCUUCACCAAAUAUCUACUGAGCACCUGCUAUGCAAUGGGCAUCCUGCUGCUGAUGUGGGCACAAAAGACAGACAAAAUCCCUGCUGUUAUAGUGCUUACAAACACUUAUAUUUCCAAUCCUAAAAAAGGGGUGAUACUAUCCCUCACUUAGGGUUGCUAUAGGGAUUAGGGAAAUGUGCCCUGGUACACAGUAAGGGCUCAAUAAAUGUUGGCUCCUGGCCUCCUUUAACCCCCAGAGCUGGUAGCUUUCUAUUCACAUAUGUUGGGGAGAACUGUUGGAACCAUUUCUGAGACUAUGUUCUUCUAGAAAGUGACAUUUCCCUGUCCUUAGAAUUCAUGCAACCCACAUGUUAUUAACCUAUCUGAGCAAAAGCCCAUUUUCCUGGGCUCUCUGGGCUAGACUCGGGCUCUUGCUCCCCGCUGCCUCCUCUCCUUCUCAUCUUCCUCUCAAUUCUAGCUAGGAUCUCAGACUAUACAUGAGUUUCGACAAACCAAUGCUUUGGGAAAGCUUUGUGCAAUUUUGAGCGAUGAAAAAAAUGGAGAAAUAAGGGCUCCAGGCGACUGGUGUGAUAGAGAAGAGAGGAAAAAGAUAAGAGAAAUGUGCAGCUUAGGAGGAUGUUUGCACAGGCAACGAGAGAAAAAUAAGUAACAAAUGUCUGCUUAGAGGUAUUUUCCUUCAAGCGUCUGGAGCUUUUGAAGAACUGGGAUAGGAGAAAUCUACAUUUUAGGAAUCUAGGCUGCUGUUUAUGUAAUUUCCACCUUUGAGGGCUUCAGCUCCAUCCUCGCUGACUGCGUGCUAGUCAUUUCUUUGUCAGGCUCAGUUUUAGUGAUUUUCAUCCCCCCCCCCCCCCAACAAGGGGGUUUAGCUGUGCAACAUAGUCAAUGCACUGAAGCCCAAAUUGGAGAUCUCUCUCACUACAGAUGACAUAAUUCAGAAGGGAAAAGUCACAUGAAAACUGUACAUUUCUUUCCACAGGCUUAGCAGAAGCUACACCUGGAUUCCUGCAGCUGAACGGAUGUAACCGUUCUAUUCAGUUGGGCUUUUCUAUUCAGUUACCUCCUUGUGAUAUGCUAUGUAAUACAGGAGGGAGUGAGAAUGGGAAAUCUGAUGACUUCAGGAGUUCAAGGAAGAAAUUCAUGGAAGAGAUUGGUGAUGAUGUCAGCAAGAUCUGCAGACCCAUACAAGGUUUCCAUGUGUUUCUUCACUCAGUUUCACUCUUCCCUGGUGGGCAAUAAAUCUGGAAGACAGUAAUUCCCAGAGUUAAGAUGAGGGUAACACAGGAUGUUUGCAGAAGGGUUGAAUAUUUCAAAGGAUAACUGCCAAUACUUCCUUAAAAAACCAACCGACCGACCGACCAACCAACCAACCACAUGAACUCAGGUCUGCAUGUAGGCUGUGAUUCUGUGGGGCUCUGCUGGAUCAGCUUGCUUGAUUCCAGGCCCAGGUCUGUUGUAUGUAUCUCCUCAUCCUGGGACCAUUGACUACGCAAGGUUUGAUCUUCUCACGGUCAAUGGCAGAAGUUCAAGAGAUCAAGCAGAGUCACAGAGGCACAUGUAAAGCCUCUGCUUCUAUUGCAUCUACUCACACUACUGGCCAUAGCAAGUCACAUGACCAAGACUGACAACCACGGGUCAAAAAGAACACUCUACCCACAGUGAGAAAAUGUCAAAGCCUCAGGCCACGGGCCCACUUCUCUGCCGGAAGGAGACGACCAUUCAAGCUGACCCGGCACACAUUCUGGGACCAGAAAGGAAAAAGGGUCUUCAGAAUAGAAGUUUUGCUGCAGCAGCUUAAACUAUCCCAGGCCUUUUUGGUCUGAUCUUGUGCUAGUUUGGCAUCAUUAACUGCCAGUCUAGAGUUUGGAUGGGAACAACCACAAGUGGCCCCUCUGUCUCUUGGGAUUUCCAAGAGAAUGGAAAUAUCACAUGGUUGAUGCCUUUCCAGCUCCGUGUGGAUAAGUACAAAGAGCUGCUUCCAACCAUCUCUUCAUUUCCUCCAGUCCUUCAGUCCCCAUCAGUGUCUCUGUGCCCCGGGAGACUGAAAACUCCGAGAGGUCAAAGAUCACACUUGUUUUGUGCACACCUUGUCUCCAGUACCUGGCACAAUGCUUUCUACACAAAACCUAAAGCUGCAUCAGAGUGCUUUUUAAGAUGAUACUUCAGACACCCACCAACAAUCAAUAAGAGACAGCAUGAGAGGCAAGACCUAUUUAUUAUUCCUUUUGUGCCCCUUUUUUGGUGCCUUCCAUAAGCAAUACUGUAUACCAAGAAAGAAGAACCUUCUCAGAGAAA